rnacentral:rRNA from 1 species
CCUACGGGUGGCAGCAGUGAGGAAUAUUGGUCAAUGGGCGCGAGCCUGAACCAGCCAAGUCGCGUGAGGGAAGACGGUCCUAUGGAUUGUAAACCUCUUUUGUCGGGGAGCAAAAGACGCCACGCGUGGCGUUCCGAGAGUACCCGAAGAAAAAGCAUCGGCUAACUCCGUGCCAGCAGCCGCGGUAAUACGGAGGAUGCGAGCGUUAUCCGGAUUUAGUGGGUUUAAAGGGUGCGUAGGCGGGUUAUCAAGUCAGCGGUAAAAUCGUGGAGCUCAACUCCAUCCAGCCGUUGAAACUGAUGAUCUUGAGUGGGCGAGAAGUAUGCGGAAUGCGUGGUGUAGCGGUGAAAUGCAUAGAUAUCACGAAGAACUCCGAUUGCGAAGGCAGCUCACUGGACUGCAACUGACACUGAGGCUCGAAAGUGUGGGUAUCAAACAGGAUUAGAUACCCUGGUAGUC